UUCUAAACUGGGUGCAUGCCUUUUCUGAACUGAAGCUGGUGCGCAUCUCCGUCGUCUGGCACAUACCCUGCUCUGUUGGUGUGCCUCGUGCUCUUGUGCAGGUUCUACUGCUUGGUGCCACCACCCAUGGUUUGCAGUUGGCCUCCAUUGACUCAUUAGCUGCUGGAGCCUCUCUCUUUUCUGGAGGACUUGAGCCUAGCACCUGUUGAUGUGUGGUUUUUUCCCCGGUUAGCUGCGUGUUCAGAAGCUCACUUGGUUCAAAUGCCCGCUGCUGGAGUCCAGCGAAGCCUGCGCCAGGCCUCCUCGUCGC